rnacentral:rRNA from 1 species
ACGCGUGGGUAACCUGCCUUAUACAGGGGGAUAACAGUUAGAAAUGACUGCUAAUACCGCAUAAGCGCACAGUACCGCAUGGUACGGUGUGAAAAACUCCGGUGGUAUGAGAUGGACCCGCGUCUGAUUAGCCAGUUGGCGGGGUAACGGCCCACCAAAGCGACGAUCAGUAGCCGACCUGAGAGGGUGACCGGCCACAUUGGGACUGAGACACGGCCCAAACUCCUACGGGAGGCAGCAGUGGGGAAUAUUGCACAAUGGGGGAAACCCUGAUGCAGCAACGCCGCGUGAGUGAAGAAGUAUUUCGGUAUGUAAAGCUCUAUCAGCAGGGAAGAAGAUGACGGUACCUGACCAAGAAGCCCCGGCUAACUACGUGCCAGCAGCCGCGGUAAUACGUAGGGGGCAAGCGUUAUCCGGAUUUACUGGGUGUAAAGGGAGCGCAGACGGCAGUGCAAGUCUGGAGUGAAAGCCCGGGGCCCAACCCCGGAACUGCUCUGGAAACUGUGCGGCUAGAGUACUGGAGGGGCAGGCGGAAUUCCUAGUGUAGCGGUGAAAUGCGUAGAUAUUAGGAGGAACACCAGUGGCGAAGGCGGCCUGCUGGACAGUAACUGACGUUGAGGCUCGAAAGCGUGGGGAGCAAACAGGAUUAGAUACCCUGGUAGUCCACGCUGUAAACGAUGGAUACUAGGUGU